AUUGAACGCUGGCGGCAGGCCUAACACAUGCAAGUCGAGCGAGCGGCGGACGGGUGAGUAAUGUAUGGGGAUCUGCCCGAUAGAGGGGGAUAACUACUGGAAACGGUGGCUAAUACCGCAUACUAAGAGAUGAGCCUAUGUGGGAUUAGCUAGUUGGUGGGGUAAUGGCUCACCAAGGCGACGAUCUCUCGUUGGUUUGAGAGGAUGAUCAGCCACACUGGGACGGAGACACGGCCCAGACUCCUACGGGAGGCAGCAGUGGGGAAUAUUGCACAAUGGGCGCAAGCCUGAUGCAGCCAUGCCGCGUGUAUGAAGAAGGCCUUAGGGUUGUAAAGUACUUUCAGCGGGGAGGCGUUACCCGCAGAAGAAGCACCGGCUAACUCCGUGCCAGCCGCCGCGGUAAUAC
rnacentral:rRNA from 1 species